AUUGAACGCUGGCGGCAGGCCUAACACAUGCAAGUCGAGCGGAUGAAGGGAGCUUGCUCCUGGAUUCAGCGGCGGACGGGUGAGUAAUGCCUAGGAAUCUGCCUGGUAGUGGGGGAUAACGUCCGGAAACGGGCGCUAAUACCGCAUACGUCCUGAGGGAGAAAGUGGGGGAUCUUCGGACCUCACGCUAUCAGAUGAGCCUAGGUCGGAUUAGCUAGUUGGUGGGGUAAAGGCCUACCAAGGCGACGAUCCGUAACUGGUCUGAGAGGAUGAUCAGUCACACUGGAACUGAGAGACGGUCCACACUCCUACGGGAGGCGGCGGUGUGGAAUAUUGGAGACUGGGCGAGAACCUGAUCCAGCCCUGCGGCGUGUGUGAAGAAGGUCUUCGGAUUGUAAAGCACUUUAAGUUGGGAGGAAGGGCAGUAAGUUAAUACCUUGCUGUUUUGACGUUACCAACAGAAUAAGCACCGGCUAACUUCGUG
rnacentral:rRNA from 1 species